AUUGAACGCUGGCGGCAUGCUUUACACAUGCAAGUCGAACGGUAACAGGCCGCAAGGUGCUGACGAGUGGCGAACGGGGGAGUAAGAGAUCGGAACGGGCCCAGUCGUGGGGGAUAACUACUCGAAAGAGUAGCUAAUACCGCAUACGAUCUAUGGAUUAAAGCGGGGGACCGUAAAGGCGCGCGCGAUUGUAGCGGCCGAUGAUAGAUUAGGUAGUUGGUGAGGUAACGGCUCACCAAGCCAACGAUCUGUAGCUGGUCUGAGAGGACGACCAGCCACACUGGGACUGAGACACGGCCCAGACUCCUACGGGAGGCAGCAGUGGGGAAUUUUGGACAAUGGGCGCAAGCCUGAUCCAGCAAUGCCGCGUGCAGGAAGAAGGCCUUCGGGUUGUAAACUGCUUUUGUACGGAAAGAAAAGGCUCUGGUUAAUCCCCGCGGCUCAUGACGGUACCGUAAGAAUAAGCCCCGGCUAACUACGUG
rnacentral:rRNA from 1 species